UUGAGCCGUAUGCGGGAAGUUCGCACGUACGGUUCUAAGUGAAGGGGGGUGAUCUGUAAUGAUCGCUCCUUACCCGAC
rnacentral:ncRNA from 1 species